UCAAUAUGCGAGGGAACAGCUUCUCUUUCAGAAAGCAAGCUCGCCGUUUCAAUAACAGAGCAUGGUGGAGAAAUAUCCAGCUUUUGAUCGUUCUGAUACUUACGCUCUCGGUUCUUGUAUAUGUCGUGGCGGCCCUUGUUUGCCGGGGGCCAGCACUUCCUUCCUGCUUCAAAUAAGGUUACACUCUCUUCUGCUGCAAGGAUUCCUUUUCAGACACUCUGUUUGGAUGGCUAUGAUGUGUGUUUGUUCUUUUGAAGUCUUAGAAGUGAAUAUGUCUGAUGUUAUGGUUUUUAUAUUUAAGGCGAAACUUUGUUUAAUGAUCAUAUGUGAAAUUUUUCACGAGAAUGUUCUUCAUAACUUGCCAAAAUUAUGUAUUUUGUUUUUUUUUCUCUGUCGAACCUAUGGCUGGAUGUAAAUAAUCGAACAAUAAUGAUAGCUUGAGACGAAAAUGGUGUGAAUAAAGGAUUUUGCUGA